AAGAUUCGAGGCUUCGGCCUUCACCUCUUCAGCUGUGCGCUUCGGCUGCACGCUGUCGAACUACACACACCUGUGCACCUUAUCGGUUUCGGCCUCACGGUCGUCGCCGCUUUACAUCUUACAACUUCAGUUCAGAAUGUUUAAACUAUAAAAAGUAA
rnacentral:misc_RNA from 1 species